CAGAGAAUAGUUUAUUUAAAAUAUUAAUUUUGGAGAUUAAUGAUAAGAGGGUUUCUUUUCUCUGA
rnacentral:tRNA from 1 species